rnacentral:lncRNA from 1 species
AGGGGUUGAAUCUGAGCUGUAGCCACCGGCCUACGCCAGAGCCACAGCAACGCGGGAUCCGAGCCGCGUCUGCAACCUACACCACAGCUCACGGCAACACCAGAUCGUUAACCCACUGAGCAAGGGCAGGGACCGAAUCCGCAACCUCAUGGUUCCUAGUUGGAUUCGUUAACCACUGCGCCACGACGGGAACUCCUACUUGAUUAAAAUUUUAUAUGGCAGAUACAGGAUGUAACAGAGUGCAUUAUUUUCUAAAUUCUUUAUUUCGUUGACUAGAACACAGUGACUACCCAUUCAUCUUGGUUAGGUUCCUCAGGCAAAGUACUCAUGUACACAUUCACACCACAGAGUACCAGCACUGGAACAACCUGCCUUCUAAUAACUGUACAAUAUUGCCAACUUGGUUACAUGGAGGCAUGAAUUAUAAUAGCAGCAUAUCUCGGUGUUUCAUUGAGAAAGAUACAGAAUAUGGUUUGAGGCUUGGUAUAACCCCUCCCUUUGCAGUAGGGGGUUUAUGUUUCAUAUCAAUAGCUUAACACACUUGUGCUUUUUUCCAUACAAUCAUUAUCACUGUACCAUGUGAUCAAAUGCUGUCACAGUGAGGGGGAAGACAGAGGAAUUUAUUGUUCUUAGAACAUACAGAAUACACAUUAGAGCAGGUCAAGAUGCUGAGUUUGUUUGAAAAGACUGUGGUUAGGAAGAAAAUGCAAUGAUUCCAAGUUAGAGACUAAUUGAGAGAAAGAGGACUUCUUUCCAGGAAGCACAUAGAUCAAAAGAAUCAGCUCUUGUCUCCUAAGAGAUGAUGAAACCUGUUUGUCAGUAAGCAAGCCUAAGCUGGUAGUGUUAUAGGUUGGUGUUAUUGUGUAGUUUUAGCCACCAAAUUAUUAGAAAUUAUAUGUUUUUAAUGAGUAGACCUUCUGUGAAAUGUCUUUUACUAAAUAGACUUUUUUUUUUGUCCUUUUCAGACAACUCCAAUUUUUUACUUGCUAAAUUAGAGGAGUAUAAUUCCAAAUUCACCUACAGUGAGUAAUUUGAUCACAGUAAAUUUAACAUGGCCUCAUUAGUAUCUACCCUUAUUUCUAGGAAACUGAAGUUUUCUAAAAGUACACAUUAAACUAUAGCAGAGCAAACAUCCUUAAGUUAAAUGACCAGUAAAUCCAUUUAUUGACUCCUUAUCACCUAUUCAAAGAAUCCUGGGUACAACAAGAUGUCAUCAUUCUGUUCCCUUAGGAUUAGCUUAAAUGUGGUUUUUCUCCUUCUCAUGUCUCACUCCCAUCAGUUUUAUAUUUCCUUACCUAGAAAUUUCAGGUUAACACUUAAAAAUAUCCCCAAAUGAUUUUAUUUCUAUUCUUCAUUUGGAGAUAUUUUUUCAAGAAGUCCCUAUCUUUAUAUUUUGAUGAUGAAGUGUAAAGUGAGGACAAUAAGAGAAAUCAGAAAGGAAUACAAGAGCAGUCAAAUUACUAUUGUAGGUGACACAUCUGAAUGAUUCAAACUUCACAUAGUAUUUAAACUGACUGAUGAGAGUAGCAUUUUGAAAUUAAGGAGAACUUUUAAUCAGUAAUGACCAUAUGUUAAAACUUUACAUAGAAACAUACUCUUCAGCUGGCCAGCAGGAUGAUGCUUGCAUCUUUUCUCUCUCCCUCAUCAAUCCUCCCAUGAGACUCUGUUUUGUUUAAUUUAUGUAGCUGGCUUGCACGUCUAAGCUCACUGAGAAAAGGCUGUUUCUAAGGAUAGUAAAUCAAAAUAACAUCAGAGUCACUUCAAACCAUGUUUUUGAAAUUCAAGUUCAGAACAAGUAGUUCAGACUACAAAUAGUUUUAGCUUCACACCUGCUUUCCCUCUCAGCUUUGUGUUCUGUGACAUUGUGCAAAGCAACUACAAGGGCAGUUCCAUUUCCAUAGGUUACAUUGACCUUGCAGAAGUGAGUAAUCAAAAGAAAGUAAAAUAAAUAAAUAAAAAACAAGAACGAAUAGAAAGGAAAGGAAAUAAACAAGCCCUCUUGUUUGGGCCUGGAAACUAAAUAAGCACAAGAUAGCAAUCACAGUGGAAAUGAGUGUCAUUGAAAUAAAGUGACUUGUUUUUAUCACAAAGCUAUUUUCAGUUAAGUCCACUCUAAUUCUUAUCUUUAUUCAUCCUACAGGUUAUAGAUAAUGUAUGACCAUAUUAAAAUUCUCUUCUUGAUCUGAAUCUUCCUAUCUCUAGCAGACAAGCUAGGUCCUUGACAGCUUGAUUGUAUGUGUGUUGAUUUUUAAAAUACAACAUGAAACCUUUAAAGUUGGAAUUUCCUGAUUACUUCAGGUAAAGUUCUAUAUACUACACAGAUUUUGCACAGCAAUUUUAGAGCACAAGAGUAAUUGAAUUAAACUAUUUAGAGUACAUAGUAGAAGUAAAGGAAUAGGAAAUCUGGGCUGUUUUUAGAAAAAUUGUUACUGAAUUUUAAUAUACAUAUAUAUAGAAAUGUACAAAAAUGUUAAGCACUCAUAGAUAAUCAACCCGACUAGGAUCCAUGAGGAUGCAGGUUCAAUCCCAGGCCUCACUCAGUGGGUUAAGGAUCCAGCAUUGCCAUGAGCUGUGG